UGAAUUUCAAAAUAUUUUUUAGUAAAGUGUAUCAAUAUUUGGAACAUCUGCAUUAUUCGAUGAACCAAUAUUUUCCCAAUGGCCAUGCCAAUAUGAUAAAAAUCAUGAUUGGUAAAAGACCCAUUAACAUUGAAAAUAGACUUAUAGGUUUUAAUGUUAUAUAGCAGAAAAAGCAUAUGAUGUGGUGUCAUGUCUCCCAUUGCAAUAACCUGAAUAAAGCAUUUGUUUGAAGAUCAAAGAAGAAGAACAAUAGUUGGCCAAAAAUACUUAAUUUUUUUUUUUUUUUUGAGAUGGAGUUUCACUCUAUCACCAGGCUGGACACAAUCUUGGCUCACUGCAACCUCCACCUCCUGGGUUCAAGCGAUUCUCCUGCCUCCGCCUCCCAAAUAGCUGGGAUUACAGGCACUCACCACCACGCUGGCUAAUUUUUGUAUUUGUAGUAGAGACGGGGUUUCACCAUGUUGGCCAGGCUGGUCUCGAACUCCUGACCUCAAGUGAUCCGCCCGCCUCAGCCUCUGAAAGUGCUGGGAUUACAGGUGUGUGCCACUACACCUCGUCCAAAAAUUCUUUUAAAUUAUUCUUCCUUUCUACAAUUUCAUGUCUGUGUGGGGCACUAUUUUCUUCACACACUUAGUCAAAACAACAUAUUGCAACAGAUUGAAUUCAGAAGCAGAUAUGAGUAUCAAGCUGUCUUCAGUUAAGUCAGACAUUUUGCAAAAAUGUAAGAACAUUGCAACUCUUCAAACUGUUUGGGGACUUGUUUUAUUUUAAAAUACUAUUUUGUUAGCAUGAACUGAAUUUAUUAUUUGUAAACAUAUUACUAAUUUUUUUUUUGAAGUGGAAUCUUGCUCUGUCUCCAGGCUGGAGUGCAGUGGUGCGACCUUGGCUCACUGCAACCUCCACCUCCUGGGUUCAAGUGAUUCUCUGGCCUCAGCCUCCCGAGUAGCUGGGACUACAGGCGCCCGCCACCACGCCUGGCUAUUUUUGUGUGUGUGUGUGUGUGUGUGUAUUUUUAGUACAGAUGGGGUUUCAGCAUGUUGGCCAGGAUGGUCUUGAUCUCUUGACCUUGUGAUCCACCCGCUUCGGCCUCCCCAAGUGCUGGGAUCACAGAUGUGAGCCACCGCACCCUGCCAAUAUUUACUAAUUUAGAAGUCCUAAUUUCUCUUAUGAUAAUCAUUAAUAGAAAUAAUACAUAUGAAUAAAGUUGGGCGAGAGAGAAAGGUUUGGAAGUUGUCAAUGUUUUUUCCUUUUAACUUAUUUAAAAUUCAAGUGUCAUGUCUACAAAGUGGCUGCAAAACUCAUAAAUUAAAAUAGAGACCUUAUUCCUCCACACUCCUUCCUUUAGUUUCAUUUUUUCCUCCUAUCAUAGGGUUUAUCACUAUUAUUUUUAAUCUUGUCAUCCCAACUAAAUUAUGAAGUCCUGCAGAAAAAGAAAGUUAUGUGCUUUAUUUUUUACUUAUUCGUACUUAGCACCAUGAAUUUCUUAGGGAUUGUUCUUUAAAAUAAAAAUUAAAUAACAUCAGGCGUGGGGGCUCACGCCUGUAAUCCCAGCACUUUGGGAGGCUGAGGUGGGCAGAUUACCUGAGGUCAGGAGUUUGAGAACAGCCUGGUCAACAUUGCGAAACCCCGUCUCUACUGAAAAUACAAAAUUAGCCAGGCGUGGCGGCGCUCGCCUGUAAUCCCAGCUACUCAGGACACUGAGACAGGAGAAUCGCUUGAACGUGGGAGGCAGAGUUUGGAGUGAGCUGAGAUUGUGCCACUGCAAUCCAGCCUGGGUGAUAGAGCAAGAUUCCAUCUUAAAAAUAAAUAAAUAAACAAACAAAAACAUCAGUUAGCAAUGUUGUCAUUUAGGCAUAUUUAGGUAUUAAUUCUAUCACUUACCAGACCUUAAUAUUUUAAAUUGUUGAUCAUGGAAUUUGUUGAUUUGAAUCUGAACAACCUUAAUUAUUUUCAAGUAGUUUUUCCUUCAAUUAAAUUAUAUUAACUUUAUAUUUAUUUGAAAUAAUUUAUUUUCAUGUUUUUAUUAAACUUUAAUCAAUGUUUUGUGCUUUUAUAGCCAUGUGAAAUAUUGAUUUGUUUCUUAAAUAUUGAUUUUAAAAACAAUGCAAUCAGUUGAUAUUUAUUAUUGAAAAGUACUAGAAUUUCACAAUCUUAAUAAAUAUUGAUAAUUAUUGUCAUUUAGAAAAAUAAGACUGGUGUAGGAAUGAAGACAGAAGAAGGAGUAAGAAAGGGUGACACUCUAUUACCCAGGCUGGUGCAAUCACAACUCACUGCAGCCUCAACUUCCUGAGCUCAAGCGAUCCUCCCACCUCAGCCUCCCAAGUACCCGAGACCACAGGCAUGUGACACCACACCUGGUGUAUUUUAGUAUUUUCUUGUACACAGAGGGUUUUGCCAUGUUUCUCAGGGUGGUCUCAAACUCCUGGGCUCAAAGGAACCCCCUGCCUCAGCUUCUCAAUGUGCUGUGAUUACAGGCUAAGACUCCCUCCUUUUGGUAGAGGCUUUUUAUGCCAUUUGGGAAUGGUUUGGAUAAGCUACCUUAAUGAAGGACCACACAACCCUCCAGAGAUGAUAGAAGACUUUUUGUCUUUUCUGGUAAGCCCUUUCUGGAAUAAAGAUCAGUGUCUUUCUGGAUUAGUCUUGGUUUCUACAGAUUUUACUUUCUGUCUGUGAGGUAUAUAUUCUAGUGAAUUUACUUUCAAAUUGAUCUGCAUGCCUAGUUUAAUAUUUUGAUCUGCAUGUCUAGGUUAAAAUUUUUGUGAACAAUCUUCUCUUGGUUUCUUAUGAUUUUGUUUGACUCUUUAUCCUUGUUUCUGAAAUUCUCCCAAGAGCAAAUGUAAACAUUCCAAAUGGUGGGUCAGGAUGGCUAACUAAAAGCUGCCAGGACAGCUGUCACCCUCUAAAACAAUGGCCUAAAGCCCUGAAAUUCCAUGACAGGAUUUAUAGGAUUUUCUCUACUCUUGCAAGAUUAAUGAAAAACAGAAUGGUUGCCCGGUGCUGUGCCUCACGCCUGUAAUGCCAGCACUUUGGGGGGCCAAGGUGGGUGGAUCACGAGGUCAAGAGAUCAAGACCAUCCUGGCCAACAUGGUGAAACCUCAUCUCUAUUAAAAUACAAAAAAAAAAAAAAAUUCGCCAGGUGUGGUGCCAUGUGCCUGUAGUCCCAGCUACUCGGGAGGCUGAGGCAGGAGAAUCGCUUGAACUUGGGAAGUGGAGGUUGCAGCAAGCCGUGAUUGUGCCACUGCAUGAGAGUCUGUCGACAGAGCGAGACUCCAUCUUAAAAAAAAACCAAAAACCAAAAAACAAAACAGAAUCGCAUUCUCAAACAUUAAGGCAUGCUAGGUUUUCUGGGACUCCAGCUGGUUAUAUAUUAUGGGUUAUAUUUUUAACUUGCUGGAAAAAUUACAUCAAGGAAAACUCAGAUCUCCAAUAGUCAUUAUUUGAAAAACCUGCAAUUAUAGAGUUAACAUGUAGAGUUUUCUAAGUUCUCUGUAUACCUCUCUCUGUUCUUCUUCUGCCCAUUCUUCUUCUGCCCUUUCACUGUUUAUGGAAUUCUGGCCUGUGCCCCAAAUCUUAAAGAGUUUUCAAAUUAAUGGCUUUAUAAAUUACAACAGCUUCAUGAUAUCAACAAGUGAGAUAAUUUUUAGAAAUAUAAAUUUAAUUCUAAAAUACCGUGUGUUAAGAAAAAGUAAGAAAUAUAAAUUUAGAUUUACCUGACUUACAAUUGUGUACAAUGACAGAAUACUUAAUUAGAAGUUAAUAUAAGAGAAAAAUAACUAGAUAAAUAUUUAUGAAAUUAGGCUCUCAGAUCAAACAGGUCAAAACCUUGACCUUACAGCAAUAAUCUAAGGUAUGUCUAGCACAAAAAUUUUGCUAUUUCUGCCAUGCAAAAGCAAAAAAUAAAAAUUAUAAAUAACUUAAAACCGCUAAAAAUCUUUCCUGUCCACACUUGCUAGUCAAGCAAAUCACACUGGCAAACAGAAAAUAGAUUUGCUACUAAUUCAAGGUUACAUGGAGAUUUUAUUUUCCUUAUACCAUUUAUCCAGUCCCAGCUUAAAUGUAAACAUUGAAAAUAUAACCCUAAACUCAUUUGAAACUUAAGAAAAGGUGAAAAAAGUUUUUUAAAAAGUCAAACUGCCAUGGAAACUGCUUUAUCCAAACUGUGGUUCACAGCACUUAUUAGAUUACCUAUCGUGGCAAAUAAAUUUUAGCCAUGUUUUACAUUUUGCCAAAAAAUAUAAUUUGGGUCCAACUGUCUUUUAUAAACUGGUGGAUUAGUAAUACUAUCUCAUGACUAGAAGUCUAACAUAAAAAAACCAUGAGAUCUGUUAUUUGUGUGUGUAUAUGUAGUCAGAUGUGUUUAUGCAUAUACACAUGUAUUUUGUUAUAUGUUUUGUCUACAUGGUAAAAUCUGGUGUAGUGAUCCAGAAAUCCCUUAAUAAAGUCUAUUUAGAUAAAUGGCCUCAUGAAAUAUACAAUAAUUAACCUAAAUGCUUUUUAAUUCAUGUGACUUAAUUAAAUCUGUGAUAAAUAAACUAUUCUAAAAUUAGUGGUAAAAUAAAAAUAGAAAUAUCUUCAAAAUGGUCAGUGUACAUUUUACCCGAGUUUACUGGUCAGAUGGUUUUAUAUUUGUCUCUUCUAGAAAUCUGUUAUUAUGUGGGUGGCAAGCCACCCAGGUGCCCAGGCAAGAGAUGGAGGGCAAGAGCUGUUUCCAGUGUAAUAAAGAAAAUAUAUAAAAUAAGAAUAGUUAAACUAGAUAUAGAUCAUAGAUAUGAUUAUAAAUGAAUAUUAUUAAUCAUUAGUUUGUAGCAAUUACUCUUUAUUCCAAUAUUAUGAUAAUCCUCACUCUGCAAUCAUAACCUAGGAAAAACCAGACAAUGCAGAGAUAGGAGCUGAGGGGACAUAGUGAGAAGUGACCAGAAGACAAGGGCUCCUUGGUCUAGCGGUAACACCAGUGUCUGGGAAGAUGCCUGUCACCUAAGCGGACCGUGGUCUAGCAGUAGUGUCAGUGCCAAGGAAAAGCACCCACUACUUAGCAGACCAGGAAAGGGAGUCUCCCUUUCCCCGGGGGAGUUUAGAGAAGACUCUGCUCCACCACUUCUUGUGGAGGCCUGAUCAUCUCCCUGGGAUGCUGUGCUUCAGUGGUCACGCUCCUAGUCCGCUUUCAUGUUCCAUCCUGUACACCUGGCUCACAUUUUAGAUAGCAGUAGCAAAAUUAGUGAAAGUACUAAAAGUCUCUGAUAUGCAGAAAUAAUGGUAUAAGCUGUCUCCACUCUGUCUCUCUCUCUCCCCACCUCAGCUGCCAAACAGGGAAGAGCCCCUGUCCAGUGGACAUGUGACCCACGUGACCUUACCUAUCAUUGGAGAUGGCUCACACUCCUUACCCUGCCCCUUGUCUUGUAUCCAAUAAAUAACAGUGCAGCCUGGCAUUUGGGGCCACUACUGGUCUCUGUGUCUAGGUGGUAGUGGUCCCCUGGGCCCAGCUGUCUUUUCUUCUCUUUGUCUUGUGUCUUUAUUUCUAUGGUCUCUCAUCUCCACACACGAGGAGAAAACCCACCAACCCUGUGGGGCUGGUCCCUACAUUAUUAGUCAUAAUUUUGGUUGCUAUGUUAACUUUUUCCUAGAGUUAUAUUUAUGUAGAUAUGUUAUAUGGAUUUCUAUACCCAUAUAACUUUCUAUAUUGCUAUAAAAUUGUUCUCACCCAUAAAAUACUGAUAAUACUGAUAUGUGACAGAUUUCUUGCUUCCUAAGUUUUCACUAUAAUUUAAGGUUACUACAAGUUUAAAAUUCUAAUUAAUAUAGGCCAGGUACAGUGGCUCAUGCCUGUGAUCCCAGCACUUUGUGAGGCCGA